rnacentral:piRNA from 1 species
UGAAUGAUUGUGGGUGUUCUGUCAGAAC